CCUACGGGGGGCUGCAGUCGGGAAUAUUGCGCAAUGGAGGAAACUCUGACGCAGUGACGCCGCGUGCAGGAAGAAGGUUUUCGGAUUGUAAACUGCUUUAGACAGGGAAGAAAAAAGACAGUACCUGUAGAAUAAGCUCCGGCUAACUACGUGCCAGCAGCCGCGGUAAUACGUAGGGAGCGAGCGUUGUCCGGAAUUACUGGGUGUAAAGGGAGCGUAGGCGGGGAUGCAAGUUGGGUGUCAAAACUACCGGCUCAACUGGUAGUCGCACUCAAAACUGCAGCUCUUGAGUGAAGUAGAGGCAGGCGGAAUGCCUAGUGUAGCGGUGAAAUGCGGAGAUAUUAGGAGGAACACCAGUGGCGAAGGCGGCCUGCUGGGCUUUUACUGACGCUGAGGCUCGAAAGUGUGGGGAGCAAACAGGAUUAGAUACCCUAGUAGUC
rnacentral:rRNA from 1 species